rnacentral:rRNA from 1 species
UACGUAGGAGGCAAGCGUUGUCCGGAAUUACUGGGCGUAAAGCGCGUGUAGGUGGUGGGACAAGUCUGCUGUGAAAGCGCCUGGCUUAACCGGGCGAGGUCGGCGGAAACUGUCGCACUCGAGGACGGUAGAGGGGGGUGGAAUUCCCGGUGUAGUGGUGAAAUGUGUUGAUAUCGGAAGGAACGCCGGUGGCGAAAGCGACACACUGGGUCUCAACUGACGCUGAGGCACGAAAGCCAGGGGAGCGAACGGG